UGAGGAUUCCUCCCUCUCCCGCUGGAUCUCACUCUGCUGAAGCCUGAACUUAGAAGACCCGGAUUGCACAUUCCUUACAUUGUAAACAAAUAAAAGUUUGUACCCAU